GGCAGUGUAGCACAGUGGUUAAGGAGCAGGACUCACAUCCGAAAGGUUGCUGGUUCAAUUCCCCAUUGCUG